rnacentral:rRNA from 1 species
AGCAGCCGCGGUAAUUCCAGCUCCAAUAGCGUAUAUUAAAGUUGUUGCAGUUAAAAAGCUCGUAGUUGAAUUUCGGGGUUAGUAGGUUGGUCAUGCCUCUGGUAUGUACUGAUCUCACUGAUUCCUCCUUCCUGAUGAACUGUAAUGCCAUUAAUUUGGUGUUGCAGGGAAACUGGACUGUUACUUUGAAAAAAUUAGAGUGUUUAAAGCAAGCUAACGCUUGAAUACAUUAGCAUGGAAUAAUGAAAUAGGACGUUCGAUCCUAUUUUGUUGGUUUCUAGGAUUGACGUAAUGAUUAAUAGGGAUAGUUGGGGGCAUUAGUAUUCAAUUGUCAGAGGUGAAAUUCUUGGAUUUAUUGAAGACUAACUACUGCGAAAGCAUUUGCCAAGGAUGUUUUCAUUAAUCAAGAACGAAAGUUAGGGGAUCGAAGACGAUCAGAUACCGUCGUAGUCUUAACCAUAAACUAUGCCGACUAGGGAUCGGAUGAUGUUAAUUUUUAAUGACUCAUUCGGCGUCCG